rfam:Rhizobium sp. R1-200B2 contig_8, whole genome shotgun sequence.
AUACCCCAUGAUGCUCAGGUCCGCCGCAUCUCCUGGGUCGUGGGGUCGGUCGACUGGUUGCACAACAAAAGCGGUUCCUCGUGCCGUGCUGCAGCUGGUCGACCCCCAU